UAUGUGAUCGUCUCUCGCAUAUCAAUAAGCGGAGGAAAAGAAACUAACAAGGAUUCCCCUAGUAACGGCGAGUGAAGCGGGAAGAGCUCAAAUUUGAAAUCUUAAAGGGUUUCCCUUUACGAAUUGUAGUUUAAAGAAGUGUUUUCUGUUGAGGUUUUGGUAAAAGUUCUUUGGAAUAGGACAUCAUAGAGGGUGAGAAUCCCGUAUUUGACCUUUACUUUCAACUUUGUGAUACACUUUCAAAGAGUCGGAUUGUUUGGGAAUGCAGUCCAAAAUGGGUGGUAAAUUUCAUCUAAAGCUAAAUAUUGGCGAGAGACCGAUAGCGAACAAGUACCGUGAGGGAAAGAUGAAAAGAACUUUGAAAAGAGAGUUAAACAGUACGUGAAAUUGUCAAAAGGGAAGCGUUUGACACCAGUGUUGUUUUUCUGAAAAUCAAUUAAAGAACUGUUUAUGCUAAGUUGUUUAGACUUUAUCAGCUAACUGUUUAGUUUUGAGCCUUUCUUUAAUGCACUUUUCAGUUAACAAGUCAACAUCAAUUUCUUUUGCUGUAAAAAAGCUUGAGGAAGGUGGCUUGAGAUUUGUCUUAAGUGUUUAUAGCCUCUUGCCUAUGCAGUCGGAGAGAUUGAGGUCCUGCAGCGUAGAUCCUUCGGGGCUAAAUGCAUUUGUGCUAAGUUAUAGCAUUUUAUAGACAACUUGUUGACUAUGAUUUGUCUUGUAGCUUACUCGCUUAUGUUAUUUUACCUACGCUUAGGAUGUUGAUAUCGCGCUCUCACUG
rnacentral:rRNA from 1 species